rnacentral:lncRNA from 10 species
GAAAAUACAUGAAAUAGUGCAUUACAAAACAAUGGACAUCAUAAAAUACAACACAGUUAUCCUGUGAAUGUGAGACAAAAGGAAGGAGGAACCCAAGGAGAGCUAGUAGACUUCCCAAGUUGAGAGUCAAGGGAGACCAAGGCGCUGGAGAGUUUCCCAAAGUGUUCAGCAGAGUACAUUUGGCUCAUGCUUGUGAGGAGACCACCCAAGGCUGGGGAAAUAACUGAGAGGAACUGGAGAAACAGUGCAUAGUGUCUGCUUUCACCAGCCAGACUGGAAAACCUCAUGAGACAUGGGGCAUUAAUAAAAUUACUCAGAAGGAUCUUGCCUCAGUAGUGGGGGACAAAUAGCCUUGGACUAAAUACAGCUCUGGCCACCUCCUAAAAUAGCUUGUAGUUUAUUUAAUCAUUUUAUUCGUUGUUUAUCAUUCCUAUUAUAAUAUAAUGUUCCUAAAGACCAGGCUUUUCAAUUCCUUUCUUCAUUUUUGUGUGUUUAGUGCCUUGAACAGUACCUGCCACUCAAUAGGAUGUCUGAUUUGAAAGUGAUCUUGGCUUGGGAAAAGUCCAUCAGGUGUGACACAAGGCUCAAGGAAAGUAUGAGAAAAGGUGACUAUUCUCCAUCUUCUUGGGUGUCCAGAGAGUGUUGGAGUGGCUCCAGCAUAGCUACAAGGGCAGGCUCGGAGGUGGUAUCUGCCCCCAAAAAUCAUUUCUGUGUUGCAUGAGCAUCAUUUGAGAAGACCUGCUGCAUCAUCCCUAUCAAUAAGGCUUAGAGACGGGUUUUCACCGUGUUAGCCAGGAUGGUCUCGAUCUCCUGACCUCGUGAUCUGCCCAGUCGGCCUCCCAAAGUGCUGGGAUUACAGGCGUGAGCCACCGCACCUGGCCACUCUUGCGUAUCUUAAGAUGACACACCAUCCAUCAGAAACGUCUCCAUUUAUUGAAGCUCAGAUACCAUUGCUUCAAGGUGCGAGCUGGUAUAACUGAAAGCAAAGAAGACAUUGCUAAGUUGAACAUUUUAACUAGUUUUAAAAAAAUUGUUAAAACAGCAUUGCAGAAACAAUAGUCUGGUAAGCAAGGCUUUCAUUUGCAAGAACUUUACAAGAGAAAAAGGAUAUGCAUGACUUAAAUAGCCCAAACUUGAAGUACAGAGUCUUUAGUAUAAGCCAGUACUUCUGAAGGUAUACUCUGUGGACCUCUGGAUACUGGCAUCAAAUGCCCUCGUAGUCAUUGUAUUCUUCAUCACCAAGGAAUUACGUUUUUUUUAAAAAAAUAGCUUCAGAAUGUCCUUGCUGAAGCAGUAAAAAAUUAAUUUUAUUAAAUUUUGAUCCUUGAGCGCACAUAUUUUUCAAUAUUCUGCGUGGUGAAAUGGGAAAUAUAUAGAGAGCACUUCUGCUAUGUACAAAAGUUCCGUAGUUGAACAACUGUAUGGCAAUAAACUAGGUAACUUAGAUAAAAUGAAAAAUUUCUAGAAAGACCCAAACUACCUGAACUGAUUCAAGAAAGACCAAAAAAUCCGAAUAGACUUAUAACAUGUAAAGCGAUUCAAAUUGUAAUACCAACAUUCCCAUGAAGGAAAGCCCAGGACCAGGUGACUUCACUGGUAAAUGCUGUCAAAUAUUUAUGUAAUUAAUACCAAUUAUUCACAAACUCCUCCAAUAAAUAAAAGAUGAGAGAACACUUCCCAAUGCAUUCUAUGAGGCUAAUUUUAUCCUGAUACCAAAUCUAGGCAAAUACAUUACAAGAAAAGAAAACUACGGAUCAAUGUCUUUUAUGAAUAUAGACACAGAAUUCCUCAACAAAACACUAGCAAAUCAAAUCCAGCAGUAUAUUAAAAGGAUUACACUCCAUAACCAAGUAUGAUUUAUUCCAAGAAUACAAGCCGUUUUGACAUCUGAAAAUCAAUUAAUGUAACACACCUCAUCAAUAGAAUAAAGAACAAAAACCAUAUGAUCACCCCAUUAUAAGCAGAAAAAGCAUUUGACAACAUUCUAUACUUCUUCACAGUAAACACAGUUAAUAAACAAGAAAUAGAAAGAAAUUUAUGCAACCUACUAAAGG